GACGAACGCUGGCGGCGUGCCUAAUACAUGCAAGUUGAGCGCUGAAGGUUGGUACUUGUACCAACUGGAUGAGCAGCGAACGGGUGAGUAACGCGUGGGGAAUCUGCCUUUGAGCGGGGGACAACAUUUGGAAACGAAUGCUAAUACCGCAUAAAAACUUUAAACACAAGUUUUAAGUUUGAAAGAUGCAAUUGCAUCACUCAAAGAUGAUCCCGCGUUGUAUUAGCUAGUUGGUGAGGUAAAGGCUCACCAAGGCGAUGAUACGUAGCCGACCUGAGAGGGUGAUCGGCCACAUUGGGACUGAGACACGGCCCAAACUCCUACGGGAGGCAGCAGUAGGGAAUCUUCGGCAAUGGACGAAAGUCUGACCGAGCAACGCCGCGUGAGUGAAGAAGGUUUUCGGAUCGUAAAACUCUGUUGGUAGAGGAGAACGUUGGUGAGAGUGGAAAGCUCAUCAAGUGACGGUAACUACCCAGAAAGGGACGGCUAACUACGUG
rnacentral:rRNA from 1 species